rnacentral:rRNA from 1 species
AGAGUUUGAUCCUGGCUCAGAUUGAACGCUGGCGGCAGGCUUAACACAUGCAAGUCGAGCGGGGAAGAGUAGCUUGCUACUUAACCUAGCGGCGGACGGGUGAGUAAUGCUUAGGAAUCUGCCUAUUAGUGGGGGACAACAUCUCGAAAGGGAUGCUAAUACCGCAUACGUCCUACGGGAGAAAGCAGGGGACCUUCGGGCCUUGCGCUAAUAGAUGAGCCUAAGUCGGAUUAGCUAGUUGGUGGGGUAAAGGCCUACC